rnacentral:lncRNA from 1 species
UCUACUAAAAAUACAAAAAUUAGCCAGGUGUGGUGUUGGGCGCCUGCAGUCCCAGCUACUCAGGAGGCUUAGGCAGGGGAAUCGCUUGAACCUGGAGGCAGAGGUUGCAGUGCGCCGAGAUCACACCUUUGCACUCCAGCCUGGGCAACUAAAGCGAAACUCUGUCUCAAAAGAAAAAAAGAAAAGAAAGAAAGAAAUUUGUGAUUCUAAGAAAUUGAAAUUGGCUCACACAGUUACGGAGCUGACAAGUCCACCACCACCUGCAAGGUGGCCUUUGGAAGACACUUGUCCUGGCAUCUAAUCUGCAAGUGGAAGAAUAGUGCAUGCCCACAGGUGGCAACUGAGCCAGCUUGCUCAGAGACCCCAGGAUGCAAUCAGCGCUUUGGAGAGGCUGGCUUCCUUGCUUCCUCUUUAGGAAGAUCAAGUGCAAGAGUGACCCUGAAAUCAACCUUCCCUGCAAGAAAGGGCUGUGUCAUGUCCACCGCAGUCACUGUCCAACCUGCUGUCACUGUCCACGGUCCACUGUCCAUGGGACCACUGGCCAGAUGGACUCCUUGCCAUUGGUGGUCUCUAGGGACAGACAGGCAGGCAGUGAGGGUCUAGCCUAGAAGUGGCCCCCAAUGGACCCCGACGAGAGCCGGCCAGUGCUGGAGGAGCUGUCCCCACAAAUGGUCAGGGGAGGGGACACUCAGCCUGGGCCAGGUCAGGGCUUCCAAGGGUGUUCAGCAGUAGCUGGCCAGCGUUGAGGCAAGCAGGUGACAGCGUGGUGGGCAGGACAGUGUGGAUCACAACGACACAAGGCCACAGACAGGGGAUCGGGGCUGGGGAUUAGGCAGCUGGCCUCGGGAAGGUCCUCCAGGGAGUGGCAGGGCUGACUCCAGGACCAGAAACUCCUGACACUGGGACUAAACAUGGCAAGAGCCAUCCCCAGAGGGGCUGAGCCACUGAGCAGAUGACCAGAACCAGAAUGCAACAGAAGCAGAGCCGAGCGGCAGCAGCUAAACCCACGAGCAGCAGCAGCUAAACCCAGGGUCCACGUCAGCCUGGGGUCAGAGGCCAAGUUCAAGCAACACAAUUGGGGCCCUGCCUGGGGGACGCUAGGGCCACAAAUCAGCAUCAACCCAAAAGGGGAGAACCAAUAUUGACCCAUUCAGCGCCAAUCCAAAUACUCAUUCCAAUCAGUGCCAAUUCAAACACUCAUCCCACUCAGCGCCAAUUCAAAUUCUCAUUCCUCCCUGCUGCCCUUCAGUCCUCGGCCCACUGCCAUCCCACUUCCCGACACCUAAAACAGCACUUCGCUGUCGCUUCUCUGAGGUCAUUGGUCCCUUUAUUCUGUGACAAUGUGAGUGAAGGUCUCCCCUGCCCUGAUAGGUGAUGGGCAGCACAAAGGGAGGAGUCAGGGCCUGGCGCGGUGACCCACGCCUGUAAUCCCAGUGCUUUAGGAGGCUGAGGCAGGAGGAUCACUUCACACCAAGAGCUUGAGAUCAGCGUGGGCAACAUAGUGAGACCCCUGUCUCUACAAAACAAUACAAAAGAAAAAAUUUGCCAGGCGUGGUGGUGUGUGCCUGUAGACCCAGCUAUGCGGGAGGCUGAGGCAGGAGGAUCACUUGGGCCCAGGAGGUCUAAGCUACAAUGAGCCUUGUUCAGGUCACUGCACUCCAGCCUGGGCAGCAGAACCAGGCCCUAUCUCGAAAACAAAAACAAAACAAAACAAAAACAAAAGGAGGAAUCAGGACCUAAGACUACUUCCUCCUGGGGCCCAGCCCAUGUCUGGCAUACAGUAGGUACUCAAUAAGUGCUUGUUGAAUGGCCUGGGGUCAGCCCACAUACACAUUAGGGUAGGACCAGGAAGCAGCAGGCAGAAGAGGGCUCCCC